ACAGUUUUGGGCGGCUUGUGGGCGUUAAAGUGGGCGUGGCACCCCGCUGAGACAAACUUGCCCUGCGCGGGAAUCUCAGAAAUCUGCAUGCCUAAUCCCAGUAUUGCAUCUUUUAUAGUUUCUGAGAAAUCAGUGUGUUUACGUGUUUGAUGUAGAACAUUGAGUAUUUUAAAGUUUUCCGUUAAAAUGUUGUUUUGGUACUUCAGAGCCUGGUUGAUGUAGUUGUAGAGAGUCGACCGACAUUGCCCAUCCAGCGAAUAGUAUACAUUACGCGGUUGCAGCUGUGCCUUAACAAAAUGCAGCAGGCGGAUCUCCCGUAAAAUGGGGCCAAGUCCUAAAAAGUGCUCGACAUUUUCCUGCUCCCUCAUAUUGCAGAUCGGGCACAGUGUCGCUGGCUGUCACGUUUGGGAUAUAGCUUAGUGGGAGGAUUUCUCCCCUGGCCAUGAAAGGGGUCUCGGCAAGCGUCUCCCAUUCUAUGACCCAUCACUAGAAUUCGUUGCAGCCUAUGUUCGGGCAUGGUUACCACAUUCUGGAUAUACCUGAAAUGCGUUUCAGCUGUAAGGAUAUGCAGCGGCGACAGACCUGUUUCAAGAUAUAGCAUCCUGUUCGGGAAUCGCAAAAAAAAAAUGGAUGGGCACACCCAGGAGUGAACUCCGUAAAUGAUAAAAAUACAUAAAUAAGAAGGAAGCAGCAA